GAUGGGGGGACGGAUCGCGGAAGGUUGUCCGGGUGUUGGAUGUCCCGGUCCCUGCAUUGGAGAUGGCACUUAGGCAAAUCCGGGUGCGUGAUUCAAGGGUGUGGGGCGAGCGACUUUAGGUCGCGAAGCAAUUGGAAGUGGUUCCAAGAAAAGCCUCUAAGCUUCAGUCAUACGAGACCGUACCGCAAACCGACACAGGUGGGCGAGAUGAGUAUUCUAAGGCGCUUGAGAGAACUCGGGAGAAGGAACUCGGCAAAUUGGUACCGUAACUUCGGGAUAAGGUACGCCCUUGUAGUUUGACUGGCUCGCGCCAGAAGGACGAAGGGGUUGCAAUAAAAUGGUGGCUGCGACUGUUUAAUAAAAACACAGCACUCUGCAAACACGAAAGUGGACGUAUAGGGUGUGACGCCUGCCCGGUGCCGGAAGAUUAAAUGAUGGGGUGCAAGCUCUUGAUUGAAGUCCCGGUAAACGGCGGCCGUAACUAUAACGGUCCUAAGGUAGCGAAAUUC
rnacentral:rRNA from 1 species